rnacentral:miRNA from 1 species
UUAGGUUGGUGCAAAAGUAAUUGUGGUUUUUGCCACUGAAAGUAAUGGCGAAAACUGCAGUAACUUCUGCACUAACCUAAUA